rnacentral:rRNA from 1 species
UACGAAGGGGGCUAGCGUUGUUCGGAAUACUGGGCGUAAAGCGCACGUAGGCGGAUAUUUAAGUCAGGGGUGAAAUCCCGGGGCUCAACCCCGGAACUGCCUUUGAUACUGGGUAUCUCGAGUCCGAGAGAGGUGAGUGGAAUUCCGAGUGUAGAGGUGAAAUUCGUAGAUAUUCGGAGGAACACCAGUGGCGAAGGCGGCUCACUGGCUCGGUACUGACGCUGAGGUGCGAAAGCGUGGGGAGCAAACAGG